rnacentral:rRNA from 1 species
CCUACGGGUGGCAGCAGUGGGGGAUAUUGCACAAUGGGGGAAACCCUGAUGCAGCGACGCCGCGUGAGUGAAGAAGUAUUUCGGUAUGUAAAGCUCUAUCAGCAGGGAAGAAAAAAGACGGUACCUGACUAAGAAGCCCCGGCUAACUACGUGCCAGCAGCCGCGGUAAUACGUAGGGGGCAAGCGUUAUCCGGAUUUACUGGGUGUAAAGGGAGCGUAGACGGCAAUACAAGUCGGGAGUGAAAUACCCGGUCUCAACCUGGGAACUGUUUUGGAAACUGGAUGGCUAGAGUGCUGGAGAGGUAAGCGGAAUUCCUAGUGUAGCGGUGAAAUGCGUAGAUAUUAGGAGGAACACCAGUGGCGAAGGCGGCUUACUGGACAGUAACUGACGUUGAGGCUCGAAAGCGUGGGUAGCAAACAGGAUUAGAUACCCGAGUAGUC